rnacentral:lncRNA from 1 species
ACAACUUUGUGCCCUGUCUCCCAGUUUAACAUGGAGCUUUCAGUCUGUAAUGCAGAGGAUCCUCUAGGGUAUAACUCCACAAGGCAGAAGACAAGUUUACUGUGGACAAAAAAAUGGGCUAGAAUGUCUUCAGCUUCUCAGGCCCUUAAUAGGGCUGAUGAUGGAUGACUCUACUGGAGAAAAGGAAGACAAAGAGGUUUCAGAUCAUCAAUAAAGCAGCUGACUCUCAAGAAACGGCUGGAAAUCAUAUUUAAAGUUGAUCUUAAAUGAAUUUGAAAAAAAUGCACAUAAAGAUCAUUACCUGCCUCAUUUGGACAUAUCAGACCUAUGAAUAUUUAUGUAGAAACAAGAGCUUAUAAUUAUC